rnacentral:rRNA from 1 species
GACGAACGCUGGCGGCGUGCCUAAUACAUGCAAGUAGAACGCUGAAGGAGGAGCUUGCUUCUCUGGAUGAGUUGCGAACGGGUGAGUAACGCGUAGGUAACCUGCCUGGUAGCGGGGGAUAACUAUUGGAAACGAUAGCUAAUACCGCAUAAUAGUAGAUGUUGCAUGACAUUGGCUUAAAAGGUGCAAUUGCAUCACUACCAGAUGGACCUGCGUUGUAUUAGCUAGUGGGUGGGGUAACGGCUCACCAAGGCGACGAUACAUAGCCGACCUGAGAGGGGGAUCGGCCACCCUGGGACUGAGACACGGCCCAGACUCCUACGGGAGGCAGCCGUAGUGCAUCUUCGGCAAUGGACGGAAGUCUGACCGAGCAACGCCGCGUGAGUGAAGAAGGUUUUCGGAUCGUAAAGCUCUGUUGUCAGAGAAGAACGAGUGUGAGAGUGGAAAGUUCACACUGUGACGGUAUCUUACCAGAAAGGGCCGGCUAACUACGUG